GGGGCGCUAGCUCAACUGGCAGAGCAGCGGACUUUUAAUCCGUGGGUUCAGGGUUCGAUCCCCUGGCGCCCUA
rnacentral:tRNA from 1 species